rnacentral:misc_RNA from 1 species
AUUUAAAUUCGAGGUCAAAGUUCAAUUUAUAUGUAUAAAAUUAUCGUUAGAAUAACUUUCGAAACAGUCGAUUUAGCGAAAAAUCACAAGAGAAUUUAUUUGCAGAGCGUUAAAUUGUCUCCUAAAAUAUGAGCUUCCAUAAUUUUCUACACAUUCGUCAAGGACCUAUAAAAUUUCAAAGAACGAAACACGUUUUUCCCAUGUCAUUUUCACAAGAAACUUCGUUGUCAAUGCGGACUAUCUCAGAGUUGAUAUCAAAAGCUCAGAUUUUCAGUAAAUUCCCUCAAAUCUAUUCCUAAGCGUUCAAGCCCCUGGGAGGAUCUAAAUUCGAAAACAACCCCAUCAAGGACCUGCACCCUACCGCUCACCUUGGUGAACAUCCCGAAGGAUACGCUCGCGAAGUGACAGGCGGUCAGAACGAACGGACGUUUUCCGAUUACCAUCGCCAUGUUCCUCUUCAUUUUCACGUCCACAGACUCCAGGAUCCAAUCGCUUUCGUACGCCGCGUGGGACACCUGCUCGCUCUGCGUCGCAUGGAGCGAUUAAAUGGCGAUGACUCGGUCGAUAUCACAGAUGGAUCGAUUCGGCAGAUGUUUUCUUUCGGGACCACCACCAGGGCAGAAAAAUUGAAAACAGUUUAGCAAAGUUCAAAGAAUAGUUUGAAAAAAAGUGGACCCUUUGACGUGCUGAAAUGAAAGAAAGGAAAAAGAAAAGGAGCAAUGAAAACGACCUUUUGAAAGUAACGUUUCGAGAUCACUUUUAUUCCACAUUUUAAUGUAAAACUAAACGAUCGUCGUAUAUAUAUAUAUAUAUAUAUCAUUUAUAAAGGUAUUAUCUAAAAGUCUUAAAGAUUAAAAAGACACUGUGAUUGUUAGUCGUGAUUUCAGCAAAAAGGCACUCGUAUAAUCACGAUUAAAUUAUUCGGCAAGGACUCCAUUAUACGCAUACAUGUAAAAAACAAUGAUUACAAAUUUUAUAGUUACAAUAUAGUUUACUAGAUUUCUUCUUGUGCUGAUAUAAAAACUUUGUUAGAAAAUUUCUAAAUACCUAAGCAACGGGCGGCAGCUUCUUUGAUCAGUUAAAUUAAUUAGGAAGCAUAAAUUUACAUUACAUAAAACUAGUUAAAUAGUAACUGCAAUAGAAAAAAAACGAAAGAUAUAGCACACAAGUUUUUUUAAAUAAAUAUUCAAUUUCAAUUGAUUCCCUUGUACUUUGUAAAGAGAUUGUAGAGAACACGAAGGGUGGACUUCAGAUCUAAGUUGACGAUGUCUGAAAUUGAUAUAAAAAUUGUUACGUUAAAACCAAUUUCAGCAAAGGUAGUAAGGAACGGUGGAUGGAAUUUUACCUUCGGGCCUGGCUUUGGGUUUUGGUAAACCAAUUUCUUGCAUAAGAUCGAAUGCGAAUGACACGUUGUGCACCUUUUGGUCGUGGGUUUUUGGGGUCAGAUGGAAGCUGCCUAGAGGAACGAAGAAUCCCUCCAGAAGACCAAGGAGCAAGGUGAGAAAUACUCCGUCGUGAAAUUGUGUAUCCAACUCCGUUACUUCCAGAUGCACUUUGCUCAAGUGCUUAUUUACAAACGUAACCAACGACU